CAUCUUUUCCAAUCCAUUGUUCUGAAGAAGAAAAACCUGCUUCUGUCCCAGGUGGAAUGCCAGUAGUUCGGGCAUUUAUUCGAGAUACGACAAAACAGCUGUCAGACCUUGCUCUGCCUUUUUCAGAGCAAAGACCAGAGCACGAGACUGUGAGCCGUAAGAGGGGAAGCCCUAAUUCCUGAGCCACCUGCUAUUUUGAGCUGAAACAUUGUUCCAAUAUCAUGAUUCUAUUAGAGACCAAGUCAGAUUUGAAUUCAAAGGACCGUCACUGGGAGCCUGUGAUGGAGAAGAAUUAUCUCCAACAACACAUUGGGAGCGAAAGAGUCCUGCAUGGCCUGUAGCUUCAGGGGCUGAUGGAGGAAGCUGCACUUCUGAGCUGAAGACCUGCAUAAUUGCAUAAAUCUCACAAAAAUCUUAAAGAAGGGCUUAUAAGGGACACCAUGAACUUUGCCUGGCAAUCAGCAAUUCUUUGCCUCUAGAGCAGAUGUUACUGAGGAGGCCACAGAGAGGAAUGUCAGCAGUGUCACCGUGAGUCACAGCCAAACAACAGAGCCAUCAUUUCUCAUGUUUCUCCUUCUCAUCACCUUUUGAGGAGCAGAGGAGGAGGAGGCCCAGAUCAGCAGACCCUCUGAAGCCAGCAUCCUCUCCCCAGAUACUUCCAACUACAGUUGCCCUCUCAGGAAAUAAACAAGAAAAUCAGGAAUAUCUACACUGUUCUGGUGUAGCUAGUUCCCACAAUGGUGAUCAGUUAGUGUCCUGAGCAGAACAUCUGCAACCCGUAAACAGUGGCUGUGACAAGAAUGAGAGGUGCAAAUUUCUCAUUUGCAUCCUCUGUCUGACUGUGAUGUGCCAUGGGAACCUGCAGGGCAAGAAGACAAUGUGCCAUGGGAUCCCACAGGAAAGACCAGGGUCUCAGUGAGACCCUCUGCUUGUCUACACCCACCCAUAAGCAGACAAAUGGCCUUGUAACAUAUCCACUGAUGUUCUGAUUCAUUCAGCUCUGGGGAGGCUUUGGAUGAGUCUUCUGCAGGUAUGGAUCUCCUUCCAUAGACUCCAGGCCUGCAUGGCUAUUCUGGAUCUAACCGAACAGGACACAGCACAGCACAGCAUUGCUGACCACCGUUUCGCCUCAUGCCCACUGCUCAGCAGCUCAGGAAGCAUCCUCUGAAUUCAGUCCCUGCAUCCUCAGCUGGUCUUCACUGGGCUGGCUUUCCCUGUGACUCCCUGGAGGAGUGCCCCAGAUUUUUGCACCAUGCUGCACAUCCUACUGCCUUCCUUCAACAGGAAU